AAUAGCUUUAGGGCUAGCCUCAAGGUGAGAGAUACGGAGGUAGAGCACUGAAUGUCCUAGGGGGUAUUGCACCUACCGAAGACUAUCAAACUCCGAAUGCCGUCAUCUUAUACUUGGGAGUCAGACUGUGGGUGAUAAGAUUCAUAGUCGAAAGGGCAACAGCCCAGAUCGUCAGCUAAGGUCCCUAAAUGUAAGUUAAGUGGUAAAGGAUGUGGGAUUGCACAGACAACCAGGAUGUUGGCUUAGAAGCAGCCACUCAUUCAAAGAGUGCGUAAUAGCUCACUGGUCGAGUGAUCCUGCGCCGAAGAUUUCCGGGGCUAAAACUUACUACCGAAGCUACGGCAUCAGUAAUGAUGGGUAGGGGAGCUUCCCAUACGGGUUGAAGCAUGACCGUAAGGACAUGUGGACAGUAUGGGAGUGAGAAUGUUGGCAUGAGUAGCGAGAUGUGGGUGAGAAUCCCACAGGCCGUAAACCCAAGGUUUCCAGGGGAAGGUUCGUCCGCCCUGGGUUAGUCGGGACCUAAGCUGAGGCCGAAAGGCGUAGGUGAUGGACAACAGGUUGAUAUUCCUGUACUACCGAUAACCGUUUGAGAGAAGGGAUGACACAGUAGGAUAAGCUAAGCACACUGUUGGUUAUGUGUGCCCAAGCAUUGAGGCAGUCAAAGUAGGCAAAUCCGCUUUGAUAAUGCUGGGAUGUGAUGGGGAGCGAAAUUUAGUAGCGAAGUAGCUGAUUUCACACUGUCAAGAAAAGUCUCUAUCGAGGUUAAAGGUACCCGUACCGCAAACCGACACAGGUGGGUGAGGAGAGUAUCCUAAGGCCAGCGAGAGAACUGUUGUUAAGGAACUCGGCAAAAUGACCCCGUAACUUAGGGAUAAGGGGUGCCACCAUCAGGUGGCCGCAGAGAAUAGGCCCAAGCGACUGUUUACCAAAAACAUAGGUUUCUGCUAAGUCGCAAGACGAUGUAUAGGAGCUGACGCCUGCCCGGUGCUGGAAGGUUAAGGGGAUCUGUUAGAGCAAUCGAAGCAGUGAACUUAAGCCCCAGUAAACGGCGGCCGUAACUAUAACGGUCCUAAGGUAGCGAAAUUCCUUGUCGGGUAAGUUCCGACCCGCACGAAAGGCGUAACGAUUUGGGCACUGUCUCAACAACAGACUCGGUGAAAUUGUAAUUCCGGUGAAGAUGCCGGAUACCUGCGACAGGACGGAAAGACCCCAUGGAGCUUUACUGUAGCUUGACAUUGGGUCUUGGUACUACAUGUACAGGAUAGGUGGGAGGCUUUGAAACCAGGACGCCAGUUUUGGCGGAGCCAUCCUUGGGAUACCACCCUUGUAGUACUGGGACUCUAACCAUAGGCCAUGAAUCUGGUCUUGGGACACUGUCAGGUGGGCAGUUUGACUGGGGCGGUCGCCUCCCAAAAGGUAACGGAGGCGCUCAAAGGUUCUCUCAGUACGGUCGGAAAUCGUACGUAGAGUGUAAAGGCAAAAGAGAGCUUGAUUGCAAGACAUACAGGUCGAGCAAGGAUGAAAAUCGGACUUAGUGAUCCGGUGGUUCUGCGUGGAAGGGCCAUCGCUCAACGGAUAAAAGCUACCCUGGGGAUAACAGGCUUAUCUCCCCCAAGAGUCCACAUCGACGGGGAGGUUUGGCACCUCGAUGUCGGCUCAUCACAUCCUGGGGCUGUAGUAGGUCCCAAGGGUUGGGCUGUUCGCCCAUUAAAGUGGUACGCGAGCUGGGUUCAGAACGUCGUGAGACAGUUCGGUCCCUAUCCGUCGCAGGCGUAGGAAAUUUGAGAAGACCUGUCCUUAGUACGAGAGGACCGGGAUGGACGUACCUCUGGUGUACCAGUUGUCCUGCCAAGGGCAUGGCUGGGUAGCUAUGUACGGAAUGGAUAAGCGCUGAAAGCAUCUAAGCGCGAAGCCAACUUCAAGAUAAGAUUUCCCACCGCAAGGGUAAGACCCCAGAAAGACUAUCUGGUUGAUAGGUCGAAGGUGUAAGUGCAGCAAUGUAUUUAGCUUAUCGAUACUAAUAGGUCGAGGACUUGACCAA
rnacentral:rRNA from 1 species